GAUUAACGCUGGCGGCGUGCAUGAGACAUGCAAGUCGAACGGACGACUCGGGCUUGCUCGAGUCGUUAGUGGCGGACGGCUGAGUAACGCGUGGGUGACCUGCCCCGAAGUGGGAGUAACUGCCCGAACGGGUAGGCUAAUACCGCAUGUGGUGGUGCGUUCGAUCGCAUCAGUAAAGACCGCAAGGCGCUUCGGGAGGGGCCUGCGUCCGAUUAGCUCGUUGGNGGGGUAACGGCUCACCAAGGCGACGAUCGGUAGGUGGUCUGAGAGGACGGUCACCCAGACUGGGACUGAGACACGGCCCAGACUCCUACGGGAGGCAGCAGUCGGGAAUUUUGCGCAAUGGACGAAAGUCUGACGCAGC
rnacentral:rRNA from 1 species